rnacentral:piRNA from 1 species
UAAUAUAUUUUUAUCUAUGAUAUAUAAAAG